GGUAUCAAGGAAAAGAGGAAGAAAGCUCUGUUCCUCUCGGUUUCUCUGUCGCCUCUUAAUUCGAUACGUCUUCCACUUUCGUUGUUUAGAUUUUAAAAGAAAAAUUAGGGCCAGUUCGACUCUCUUGCGUACAGUUCAACUCUCUUCCCCUUCUAAGCCCGCCUUGAUCUGAAGUCAAAUUGAUUGCUUGAUUAAUCGUACAAAUUUCUGGUAAAUUUUUUGGGUUUCGAAGGAAUUUUUUGGGUUUGCAGAAAGUAGGUGCCUUUUGCAGUAUUUGAUUAAUCCCAGAAAUUUCGGUUGAUCUGGGGUCCCUACAAUUGCGGUCCCUACAAUUGCGGUGUAUGCGAGUCCACCAAGCAGCAUCUGCGCAGCACCGCACCCUUGCCAGAUUAAUUCACACGCGAGUUAUGAUUUCGACUUGAGUUCGAGAUCUUCAUCAUCUGCAUCAUCCACGGCAUCCUCUUCGCAGAAACCCCCAACGAUGGGUGGCCUCUCGUGCCUCUUCUCUUCGACCACGGUGAAACACGCGCUGCCGUCGACUUUUUCUGGCUCUGGGGAAGAAUUGGGGUCAUGUAGAGGUGAUGAAUUGAAAGAAUUUAGUAGCUCAUUUUGCUAUUCGUCCAGUAAUUUUGGUGCUGGUUCUCUAAAAAGGGAUAAUAGCCCUGUUUCGGUGCUGCAAGGCCCGGUUUCGUGUAGUAGCAGUGGGGUUGCUGUUGCGAGGAGUCCUCCAGUACGAAUUCGGGGGGCCGGGAAUUGCGGAUUGUUCAAUGGGUUUGUUAGGAAUGCAUUAGGGUCGUGUGUGGAUUAUGAUUCCCCUAGUUUUGAGGUGAACGGUGGUGCUGGCCUAGAUGUGGGAGUUGUUGCCGUAGAUGAAUUGACAUUUAAUAUGGAGGAUAGUUUGAUGGAGGAUGACUUAGAGCCCUAUGCUAAGGAUUUGCUACUUGGUGCGCAAUUGAAGCACAAAAUCUUUUGCGAGGAUCUUGUUGUCAAGGCAUUCUAUGAAGCUGAAAAGGCACAUAGAGGACAGAUGCGUGCUAGUGGAGGUCCAUAUUUGCAGCAUUGUGUGGAAACAGCUGUGUUGCUUGCAUUGAUUGGUGCCAACUCUACAGUAGUUGCGGCAGGGCUUUUGCAUGACACUCUUGAUGACUGUUUUUUGAGCUACGACUGCAUUUUCAAGACAUUUGGAGCUGGGGUUGCUGACUUGGUAGAAGGGGUUUCUAAACUUAGUCAAUUGAGUAAGCUUGCAAGGGAGAAUAAUACAGCAUCCAAAACUGUUGAGGCAGAUCGCUUGCACACCAUGUUCCUUGCAAUGGCAGAUGCUAGGGCUGUCCUCAUUAAAUUGGCUGAUCGACUGCAUAAUAUGAUGACUCUAGAUGCGUUGCCAUUGGUCAAACAGCAAAGGUUUGCUAAAGAGACUUUGGAGAUAUUUGCACCAUUGGCGAGUCGUUUGGGAAUCUAUACAUGGAAGGUACAGCUAGAAAAUUUAUGCUUUAAGCAUCUCAACCCAGAAGAGCACAAAGAAUUGUCAUCUAGGCUUGUGGACACCUGUGAUGAAGCUAUGAUUACUUCUGCAAUAGAAAAAUUAGAGCAGGCUCUCAAGGAUAAAGCCAUUUCGUUCCAUGUGUUGUCAGGGCGGCAUAAAAGCUUGUAUAGCAUUUACCGGAAAAUGUUGAAAAAGAAGCUGACCAUGGAUGAAAUUCAUGAUAUCCAUGGGUUACGAUUGAUUGUUAAUGAUAAGGAAGACUGCUACAAAGCAUUGAAUGUUGUUCAUCAGUUAUGGUCUGAAGUACCUGAAAAAUUCAAGGAUUAUAUAACAGAACCAAAGUUCAACGGGUAUCAGUCUCUUCACACAGUAGUGAUGGGCGAAGACAUGGUUCCUCUUGAAGUUCAAAUUCGAACCAGAGAGAUGCAUUUGCAAGCCGAGAUUGGAUUUGCAGCUCACUGGAGAUACAAGGAAGGUGAUUGUCAGCACUCGUCAUUUGUUCUUCAGAUGGUCGAGUGGGCACGAUGGGUGGUGACUUGGCACUGUGAAGCCAUGAGCAAAGACCACUGUUCUAUUGGUUAUGAUGAUUCAAUCAAGCCUCCCUGCACAUUCCCUUUUCACUCAGAUGAUUGCCCAUUUUCUUAUAAGCCCCAAUGCGGCCAGGAUGGACCUGUCUUUGUUAUCCUGAUCGAGAAUGACAAGAUGUCAGUGCAAGAGUUCCCUGCAAACUCAACAAUGAUGGAUCUGAUGGAACGAGCUAGGCGGGGAAGUUCAAGGUGGUCUUCAUAUGGGUUCCCUGUCAAGGAAGAAUUAAGGCCAAGGCUUAACCAUGAACCCGUGAGUGAUAUAACUUGCAGGCUGAAGAUGGGGGACGUCGUGGAGCUAACUCCGUCUUUACCCGACAAGUCAUUGACGGAAUACAGAGAAGAAAUCCAGCGAAUGUAUGACCGGGGCUUGACUACCAGAGGUCCUGCUGCAAGUAAUAGGGUUGGUUGGAGAAGUUGACCACCGGUGGAUCACCCUUUUAUAGUAUACACCAUUUAAUUGCUAUGCCCUAAUUACUUCCAGAGUGUCUUGGCAGUCUGGAAUUUUUGCAAUAAAUGGAAAUGCCUCAACAUGAUCCUUCAGCAGUCAGCUCCUCGCCCACCCCCUCCCAGCCCAGAACUUCUUCCUCCAUUGAUACACUUCCUAUUCACAAUUGAUCGCAAAAAAAAGUAGGUGGGAGUGAUCUUUACAUGGAAAUGAAAGAAUCUGGAGGAAUUAAUAUUAGCUUGGAUAUAAGGAGAAAAGAGAGGCUUAUGAAGAUUGCAUUUGGAAAAAUAUUAGGCAGCAUUUUGCUCAUACUUCUUCCAUAGUUGGAAAUGGUGAAGAACUCCUAUUGGAAGAGUAUUUGUUUGGUUCUAGCCCCCCUGGGAUUCAGUUUUGUUCUUUAUAAUGAGCAAGACUAGAUUUUAAUAUGUAAAUGUGGGAGAGAUAACUUGAGAAUGGGUACUGGCGGAUUUCUUUGAAUAUUUUCUUCAAUCAAAAUGUCAUUUUUCUAGUACCAUUUUAUAAAAUGCCAGCACCAAACCCCUCACCAAGA